CACACUCUAAUGAGAAAUGGGUUGACGCCAAAAAGCGAAAACAUUUCAAACCAUCUCAAUAUAGUAGAAUUUGAAGUGUUCAUUUUACAAGCAAUGACUAUCAAUUAAUAUGUCCAGAUGCGAGCAGACUACUUUUAAGAUUGAACGCUAUUUCUUAAAUAUUGCCAUCACUUCCUGCAUAUUACCAUACUGCAGUUAAGAAGCCUAGAAAAAACCCUACUAUAAGAAUUCCUACCCAAACGAAUGAUAUUGUUGAUGAUAAUAUUCUUGAACUGGCUGAACCUAGUGAUGUUUUAACUGAGCCGUUUAAUUUAUGGUAAACCAAAAAAAUGAAACGCAGAAGACUCCAGCCACAGAAGCUCUAGUUAUUAUGUUAGUUGGAUUGAAAGGUAAGUAGAAAUGUCCGAUUGCUUACUAUUCACAAUCCAAAAGUUCUGCAAUUAUACAAUCCGGUCUUGUAACUACCUACUACAAUUACAAUGCAAAAGAUGUUGGUGUUCGAGUUUGGGGGCGUUACAUGUGAUGGUGCAAGUACAAACUUAUCUACUAUGACAAAUCUUGGAUGUAAACUUCAUGGAUCUUAUGAUGAGGUGGUAGAAUAUUUUAUUAUUCCUUGAAUAGAUUGGAAGAUUUACUAUAUACCUGAUGCUUGUCAUAAUAUUUAAUUAGCAAGAAAUGCGCUCAGUACUUACAGGAAAUGCUUACAGUGAUGAUGGUGUAAUUAAUUGGGCAUUUAUUCAAGAUCUAAACAAAGGAGGAAAAAUAUUAUGAAAGUGAAAUUGGCAGUUCAGACAUUUAGUUCAUCUACCUACUGAUGAUGCUAUACAGUUUUUUAGAACAUUAAAUGAACCUGCAUUUGAUGACAGUGAAGCAACCGAAGAUUUCAUAAGGGUGACUAAAUUCUCGUGAUCCAUUUGGUAAGGUCAAACAUAGAGGGUCAAAAACUAAUAUGGACAAAACAAUCAAAUCAAAGUAUCACUGUUUUUAUUUAUUGGUUCAUAUUAACAACUAACAAGUAAUGGUAUAAGUCACAAGUAACAUACAGGGAAUUAAUACCUUUAAAAAAUGAUAGAUUAGAAAAAAUCCAAGUGAAUCGCUAACAGAAUAGGUCCAUUUUUUAUAACUUCAGGAGAAACAAAAAACAAAAUUAUAACACGUCCUUUUUCUGUAGUAAACUGAAAUUUCCAAACACUAUAUUUAGCGCUUGGAUGUCGGAUUUGACUCCUUUCUGCAGUAAACGAUGUAUUUACGCGUGCUUAAUGAAAAAUGAUAACAAAAUCGAAAUUGAUAAAAAUGGACUUGUUCCCUUUCUGCAGUUAGCGAAUUAUUAGUUACUAAUAAACUUGUUUGUUAUAACUUAUAAAUAAUAUUAUACAGAGCGGUCAUCCAUUAGACCGCCAUUUAUCAGUAGUGAGGCGAUUUGUUUACAUUUCAAUUAUGUGAUAACAUUAACAGUUAAAAUGUAUAUUAUUAUAUAAUAUUCAUUUCCAUUAUUUUAAAUACUAGGCUUUGUGUUCUUCAAUUUUUGUCACAGCUUCUUUACUUUUUAAUUCUCAGUUUUAUGUUAAUAUUUCUUUAACUUUAUGUUACAAUAUACGAUAUUGAGAUUUUAAAAAUGUAUUUAAUACUAUUAUGAUAGUUAAUAUUCAGUUACUUAGAAGAUUAUUUACAUAGAAUGUAUUUCAAUGUACAAAAUGUUAACUUGAAGCAUAUAAUUGAAUAAAAUAGGUUUAUUUAUUAGAUAUUCAUACCUGCAUAAUAUCUGACAUGUUCAAAAUUAUUAGAUACUUACAUUGUAUGUUAUGCAUAUUUAUUUAAUAUGAAAGUUAUUCAUUGUAUACAUUUUGUAAUUUUUUUUAAACU